rnacentral:tRNA from 1 species
GGGCCGGUGGCGCAGCUUGGAAUGCGCGUCGGAUUUGCAAUCCGAAGGUCGCGGGUUCGAGUCCCGCCCGGUCCA